rnacentral:rRNA from 1 species
UGGGGAAUAUUGCACAAUGGGCGAAAGCCUGAUGCAGCGACGCCGCGUGAGGGAUGACGGCCUUCGGGUUGUAAACCUCUUUCAGCAGGGAAGAAGCGAAAGUGACGGUACCUGCAGAAGAAGCGCCGGCUAACUACGUGCCAGCAGCCGCGGUAAUACGUAGGGCGCAAGCGUUGUCCGGAAUUAUUGGGCGUAAAGGGCUCGUAGGCGGUUCGUCACGUCGGGAGUGAAAACUCGGAGCUUAACUCCGAGCCUGCUUCCGAUACGGGCAGACUAGAGGUAGGCAGGGGAGAGCGGAACUCCUGGUGUAGCGGUGGAAUGCGCAGAUAUCAGGAAGAACACCGGUGGCGAAGGCGGCUCUCUGGGCCUUACCUGACGCUGAGGAGCGAAAGCGUGGGUAGCGAAC